rnacentral:rRNA from 1 species
UACGGAGGGUGCAAGCGUUAUCCGGAUUUAUUGGGUUUAAAGGGUCCGUAGGCGGAUCUGUAAGUCAGUGGUGAAAUCUCAUAGCUUAACUAUGAAACUGCCAUUGAUACUGCAGGUCUUGAGUAAGGUAGAAGUAGCUGGAAUAAGUAGUGUAGCGGUGAAAUGCAUAGAUAUUACUUAGAACACCAAUUGCGAAGGCAGGUUACUAUGUCUUAACUGACGCUGAGGGACGAAAGCGUGGGGAGCGAACAGG